GCGGGUAAUGAUGGAGUUCAAGGAAUUGAGACAUUUAAAGAUAAGAUUAGGAGAAAAAUUGGUCUUAAAAAGUAAGAGUCAAGAAAAAUAGACCCCUGGUCUCCACCCAACCAAAAAAAAAGAAAAGAAAAUAGGAGAGAAAAAUGAAGGAUAUAGAGAAUAAUUACCAUAAAAUUACGGAAUGAACAAAUGAACACACACCCC
rnacentral:lncRNA from 1 species